CUCAGGCGUCCAGGAACUCUAGGCCUGUAGGUCAGGGGUCAGCCCGCUCCGCAGGACAUCUUCCCAGGACCCGGCGGUUCCCCCACUGCACUCCUGAAGUGGAAAGAGGAAGGUCGUUUGAGCCGGCCCCUUUGGGCCCUGUGGCGGGAAGACACCCAGGGCCUCUGGGGAGUCCGGUCUCCGGGGCGUCUGUCCUCUGAGGCCCUCCCUACACCGCCCUGGAUGCAAGGGGUGCAAAACUAGAGAGCUCGCCGGAGAUCUGGCUUCAGGGGCACAGGCGUCUCGGUUAGGGGCGUGCUGAACCUUGGCAGCGGAGUGCGUUUCCCAAAGCCCCAGCCUUGGACCUUGCAGUAAUAAAAAUCAGCCAGAUCGUGUAUCUGCACAAAGCUGAGAGGUACAAAGUGUGAAGAUAUUUUUGUGAUAAGCAGAUGCCCUGAAGAAGUCACCUGCUGCAGAGGAGGCUUCCAAUAACCAGACAGACAAGCUCACCACCAGACUGCUAAGGGACAUCACCUAGACACCCACGUCUCCUCUGCCAUCUCCUGGCCCCUUGAAAUGAGCAGUAGAGGAAUUUGAUGGAUAUUGUCAGGCAUCUUGCCGCGUUUUGCUCUGUGUCUCUUGGAAAGAGUCCCGUGCACUGGAAGUGCUCCAUCAGAAGGAUGCAUAUCUACAACAUUUAGAAGAAUAGUAAAAGUACAGCAAAUUAAGGAUGUAUACCUGUUCUUCAGUCUUAACCAACACACCAGUUACUCAGCACUUCUGUUACUGAAAACAAUUGAGAAUCAAAUUAUAAAUAGAAUUAAAAAGAUGCCUGUGGCAAAUUGAAUUAUUGUGUCUUAAUUAUUCAUCACUCUCUGUAUUCAUACGCUUUGUCACAUAAUUUUGUAACCUCCUACAGAAGGUGGGCUCUACUUUUCUCCCCCUUUGGGCUUAGCCAAUGGAUAUGAGUGAAGGUGACACAACUGAUGGCAAAGAACAUGACCAAUGGGCUCGCUCUCUUGCAUUUCUGCCAUCAAGAGAAGAGCAUCCUGCUGUCCCUCUGGUCCAAGGAGAUGAGACAAACUUGAGGAAGAGCUACAUGGCUGGCCUGAAAACCUACAGCUUGAGGGGUAGAUUCAGCUCAGGUCAGCUGAUUCUCAACUGAAACGCAGACUCAUCAGCUAUCAGUUAAGUGGCGCGGCCAAUUUUCAGUCAGACACAGUGGCAAAGAUUUAUGAGAAAAUGCUUUUUUCCUAUAAGUUUGUGAUAUUUUAUUAUAGAAAAUAUCUUAUUGAUGCUUUAUACCUGUGAUUAAAGUAAUUAUCACAAGUUCGCAUUUACUAAGUCUAUGUCUUUAACUCAUGGUGGAUCUCCUUAAUGCUCUUUUCAGAAAGACAGUUACCUUAAUCAUCCGUAAUUCUAAAAAUGUGGUCAUAAAAUAAAAAUAUAAAAAUUUUGAUGCAUGAAAGAUAUAGCCUCAAUUCUUUAGAAAAUUAAAAGGCCCAGAAUAACUCAUUUUCCUGGAAUUACAUACCGUUAAACACCCCCUGAAAAGUAAUUAAAGCAUUCAGUGGAAGAUGACUUAUAUUAAGAUCCUGGAAAAACUUGGUUUAGAUUAUAAGUAGGAGUGAUAUGUGUCUAUAUAGAACACCUCAUUCAGUAAAGAGUUCACCACUGCCACUGUGCAUCAUCGGUCGUUACAAGACCCAGUGUGGCGCUAGAAGAAAGAUAGGCUUAUUUUAGCUGAUGGGAGUCUCAAGGGCAUGUGUUGAUUUAGAGAUAAAAGAAAUAGUGGAAAUGAUUUUGGUGUUGAAUAUUAAAUGAAAGCACUUCAACUUUAAGGGGAAAUUCCUCAUGUCUGUGGUCACCAAAAAGUAUUUGUGGCUUACUGAUUUUACAUCCUGAGAGAUAAACUUUUUAUGUCCACCUACUCUACUUUAAAACUUAUACCGUUUUGUUAAGGGUUUACUCAUCUGUGUAUUCUCAUUUGGAGGAACCUGGGUCUGCAGCUCAAUGCUUUACAUACUUAGCACCAAGGAAAGGCCAUGCUUGGAUGUAGUGGCUGUCGUCAGUCUCCACUGAACAGUAAGGAUCACCAAGAAUAAUGAAUUCUCCUCAUGGUGAAGGCAAUUUUGCUGCAGUGGCAGAACAACUUUUUUCCAAAGUUCUGUUUGUAAACCAGAAGAUGCCUUUUUGUUUUCUUUAUCUGACCAAGUUUUGUCUAUUUGUGAGUGUUCUAGCUCAUGUAAAUUUCUGUGAUUCUCUCUCCAGCCCCAUUCUACAGAAUCAUUGCCAAACUUAUUGGUAAUCAUGCUUUCAGUUUAUGACAUUCUCUGCACUUCCUGGUUGUUAGCCACCAGACCCUUCUCCUGGAACCGGGGAACUUUUGAUACCUAGCGUGAUCAUUUUCUUCACACCCUAACACUUGCCUUUUCUCACUUCCACUUGAGAAACUUCUACGUGCUGUGGUUAUGUAAAUAAAGAGCAGCUUAGGCAGAUAUCUAACAGGAAACGCUCAGGUAGGUAGAAGUUGAACAAAAUGAGAUUUCUGUCCACAUAAUCCUACCUGGUGAUGGAGGGCAGAGAGAAAGUAACAUUUAGCCAAAAUGACAUUUCAAAGAUGAAGUUAACUAAGCUAGUGAAAAAUUCCGGGUGCAAAAUUUUCCCUCAGAGAAGAGAGCACCCUGAGCCUGGUAGGAAGAUGGGCUGUAUCAGUUUCCUGUGGCUGCUGGAACAAAGUCCCACAAAUUGAGUGAGUGGAUUAAGACAACAGAAAUGUAUUCUCUCACAGUGCGGCAGAUGUGGGGAGAAAUACAAGUCAACUUUAGAGUUGGUUAGAAAGACAAGAAAAUUUGGGCCUGCAUGCAAAAAAGUAUGCAUUUUUUACAUUUACAUUUUUACAUUUUACGUUUACAUUUGCAUUUACAUUUUCUGCCUACCCCUAAAAUAAUACAAGGAUAAGGUUGAAGUACAAAUCUAAGAACAUUUUUAUCAAAAUAAUACAAGGAUAAGGUUGAAGUACAAAUCUAAGAACAUUUUUAUCAAUCUAACUGUUGUUAGUAAAGAGAAGAAAAAUAGCAUAGUAAACAUAAAACCUUAAUAAUGUGGUGAAAGUAAGUCCAAAUAUAUCAUAAGCCACAUGAAUAUUAUUCUUGCCUACUAAAACACUGAAACUCUCAGAUAAUAUUAUUUUUAAAGUGUUCACUCUGGUUAGCAUUACAAAGGAAGGAUGUGUUAUGGGAGUUGAAGAUGGAUUGGAAGGGAGAAAGUGUAAAGGGCAAGAAAAUUUCAGAGAUUAUUUCAAUAUUGGUGGUAGGAAUAGAAAUGGAGUAAAAUAGAUAUAUUAAUGAGAUAUUUAGAAAGUAGGUUGAAUAGUUUAUCAUAUGAUCCAAGGGUUAGAAGCUCAUGUAUUCCAAAAUCUUACAACUCUCUGAAGUUACCUUUACCACUGAACUUUUAAAAUAACUGACUAUAGGUCCCAGGCCCCCAAACUGAGAAAUCUAUUUCCCCCUUUCUGUUCGCACUAUUUCUCAAGAUUCUUGUGUAACUGGUAGGUCUCUUAGUGAUCUGAUACUUACAUCCUGUCUCUUCUGAAUUCUCAGUCUUUAUUAUACAUUAAAUGUCCUAUGACUUUCUGUCCCAUCUUCCAUCAAAUGUGUCAUAAAAUUCUUUGUUUCUUGUAACCAGUAAUAUCAUAAAGCAUUGUAGUAUAUCAGACUUUUAUUCAAAAUGGUGAGUCAUAGAAGAAUGUAACAGAAUAGCAUCAAGUUUAGAGUAUUAGUCAUCCUUUAUCUUAAGACUUCCUCAGCCUUCCCUGCCAUCAUGAGUUUAUUCCUGGUUUUCAUUAUUCUGCAGCUAUGUCCCUAAACCAUGUGAUUUGAUCUUAUCUUUUCCCUUCUUACAUCUAACCCUCCUUCCACUUUUUUUUAUAGUGCUGCUCACUACACACUGCUUUCUUAAAAAAGAAAAGCACAAUUUAAAAUGAAUUCCUUUCCUUUUUUUUUAAUACAAGCAAUUGCAUCCUUCAUUUGUACUGCCCCUUCAUUCUAGGUCAUGAACUGAUCAUGAGCUGAACAUGAACUGAAUGGGAGCAGUCUUUUAACAUUCAAUUAGGCCAUAAAGACGUGUUGUAAAAUAAAUAACACUUUUCUUCCUAAAAGGAAAUCUGAAGUUCAAGGAUGAUUCCUGGGUUUCUAGCUGGUACCAUUUAUUGAUCUGGAAACAGAACAGGGCCAGUAUUUGGGGGGUUAGAGGGAGAAUUGGAAUUGUGAGUUCCAUUUUGAGUAUUCUGAGUUUAAAGUACCCGAGGAAAACCCAUUUGAACUGAAAGUCGAGGAAGAAGCUAAGCAUACAACAUUGUAGCUCAGAGAAUUAUAUAUUCUAAGAAUCCUUUCCAUAUAAAUAAUAAUUGAAGCCAUGGGAAUCUCUGUGGUGAACACAGAAGAUAGGAUAGAAUGAAAGAAGAGCAUUUAGUAAGCCAUAAUAACUCCAACAUUCAGAGUUUGAAUAGAUGAAGAGCAAGAGAGACCGACCAAGAAUUUGCCAGAGAGAUAGAAUGAAAUCCAGGGGUUUCUAGUGAUCUUGGAAGCCAAAUGAGGUAGAGGUGGGAGAAAGUAUUUUUCAAGAAAGUUGUGAUCAACAGCAUAUUUCAAAUGUUUCCAUGGGGUCCAACAAAAAUAUAUCCAAGAUAAUCCAUGGGUCAUAAUUAGCAACGUUUAAUAAUAGUUUCAUUGGAAUCAUAUGGGUGGGAAUCAGAUCGGAAUGGUUUUAUGCAGCAAGUAAGUGGGGUUGUAGAGACUGUCAGUGUGUUUAAAGUUUUUGAGAAGUUUAGCUUUGAGCAGAGGAGUGGGUAGUUGGAGGGAAAGUUGGAACCAAGGAAGAAGGGUUUUACUUUUCUUAAAAUGGGAAAGACUUGAUCAUGUUUGUUUAGUAUUUGUUUUUCGUUCAUGUUUAAAAGCUGAUGCAAGGAAAGGAGUGGGGAGGUUGAUGAAAAUAAUCUGGGAGGAAAGGGAUGAGUGAAGCCCCUGACAGAAAGGAUGCCAUCAGGGGCUGUAGACUGAGCAAGCCUUAAUAUUCAUUUGAGUAAAAUCAAAAUAAAAGGCUUACACACAGAAAACCCAUAGACCCCGGUAUUGAAUUCCUGCCAUUAAUUCAGUUACACAGGAGCACAGAUUAGUAAAAGGCAAAUUAUCUUGGAGAAAGUUUCCAAACUUUGUGUUUUAAUUUUUUUGCAGUAAAACACAUUGUAAGUUAGAAAACGUAAUUCAACAAUUUUCGUUACUGGUGUCCUGAAUAGAGUAAUACAUUUCUCUUCUAAAUUGUCUCGUAUCUUGUUUUUAAUGCUUAUAUUUUCCAUUUCAUUUCUGUACAAAAUAUGCUCUGAAAGACUGUUGUUUUCAUUCAGAGAAAAAGCGUUGAUCCAGAAAUGUUCGCACAUAAUUUAAACAAAAAUGCGGUGCUAAAUUCCUUACAGCCUUUUGACCAUGUUUCUAUCAGCAGCUUUAAAACUAAUGAGCACCCUUGGGAAGUGAGAAAUAGGAAAGAUUGCUUGACAAUCACAAUCAAUGGAUAAAUUCCUCUUUAGAAUGUGUUUGUAUAAAGAAGUCUUGGAAUUCAAAAUAUAUUUCCAGCACCGGUUGAAGAGAAUUUUAUUAAGUCAUUAUCACAAUAAAGACAUUGUGCCAAGUAUAGGGGAUCAAAGAUGGACAACCCUCUAGGACCUUCUAGGGUAAGGUUUCAGGAUCACCAUUCUAACCAACACUUUGUCUGUGUGGGUGAUGGAAAUACCAUUGAAACUAUAACCAAGACUUUACAGAUUGGCAUCACAUUUUAGGAACCACUCUCCAGAUAGCAUCCUCACUCCAAAAAAUUAUAAAAUAAACUGAAAAAGGAAUUCCAAAAUUGGUUUGCACUUCCAGAAAGACAUUAAAUGAGAUAAAGUCCAUAGACCCCGACAUCAUUUUUCAUAUGCACGUCUCUCCUUCUCGGCUCCCUCUCACAUCCAUACGCGUCAGAUCUUCUCAUUCACUGUUAUGUACAAAGAACAGUCAACCUGCCACUCAACCGUCUCAGUCUCUUCCAUUUACCUCUCCUCAUUUUCCCCACUCUUACGGUCCACCCGCAAACACAGUCUCCAUACGUGAUUCUACAUUCAGAACGUCCAGUGUCCCUACCUUGCUUUGCUGACUAUUUUGCCUUGCAGAAGAUAGGGGAAAAAAUCAUGAGGCAAAAUAUUUACGACAAUUGUUUCAAGUUGUCUUUCCCCUUGACAAUUGUUUGAAAUCCAGCCCAUAGCCCAGACCACAGGGCAAAAUGUUCUGGGAUCUUUUCUUCAUUCUAUCCCUGAUUGUUUA